rnacentral:rRNA from 1 species
CCUACGGGGGGCAGCAGUGGGGAAUAUUGGGCAAUGGGCGCAAGCCUGACCCAGCAACGCCGCGUGAAGGAAGAAGGCUUUCGGGUUGUACACUUCUUUUAAGGGGGAAGAGGAGAAGACGGUACCCCUUGAAUAAGCCACGGCUAACUACGUGCCAGCAGCCGCGGUAAUACGUAGGUGGCAAGCGUUGUCCGGAUUUACUGGGUGUAAAGGGCGUGCAGCCGGGAGGACAAGUCAGAUGUGAAAUCCCCGCGCUCAACGUGGGAACUGCCGUUGAAACUGGCAAACUGGAGUGUGUGAGAGGAUAGUGGAAUGCCAGGUGUAGGAGUGAAAUCCGUAGAUAUCUGGAGGAACAUCAGUGGCGAAGGCGACUAUCUGGCACAUAACUGACGCUGAGGAGCGAAAGCGUGGGUAGCAAACAGGAUUAGAUACCCGUGUAGUC